GACAGAGGGUGCAAACGUUGUUCGGAAUUACUGGGCGUAAAGCGCGUGUAGGCGGCUAAGUAAGUCGGGCGUGAAAUCCCACGGCUCAACCGUGGAAGUGCACUCGAAACUGCAUAGCUAGAGUCCUGGAGAGGAAGGUGGAAUGCUUGGUGUAGAGGUGAAAUUCGUAGAUAUCAAGCGGAACACCAGUGGCGAAGGCGGCUCACUGGCCCGAUACUGACGCUGAGGCACGAAAGCGUGGGGAGCAAACAGG
rnacentral:rRNA from 1 species